AGAAAGCUCCCUGUAACUAUUCUUUUCAGAAAACAUAUUGUGGGAGGUCUCAGGAGGUUGAAGGCCAUGGAGGGUCCUCUGUGCUGUGGCCCACUGAGCUUCUCUCUCUUCUUUGCCGUAGUCUUUCUUUGUAGUAAAGGCAGUCUGUUACAAGACGAUAGCGAAUGAGCAAAUAAGAAGGACACCGAGGCAGAGAAACAGACUCAGACUCGGGAUUUUGUUAUGAAAAAAUAUACCUUGUUCUCCAAGAGAUUAUCCCAAGCCUUCCCACUCAAAAUGUAGCGGAUUGCGAAUUUGAGGAUAUCAAGCGGCACAUAUGUCACCACGCUAAAUAGCCAGAUUACUCCAGCCCAUCCCCAGCCACACCCCUCAAUACGUGCAAAACCCCAAUUUGCAUAGACCGCUAUCAAUGUUGCGACCUGUCAUUCAAGAAUGGUUCAAGGCGAUGGGUUAGGUUUUGCUAAUAAUCUGAUCUGAUUCAUUUUCAGAAUAUAAGCAAAAUAUUUGACAUCCAGCAUGAGGAUCCCAAGAUUAUCAUUGGCAGAAGGUUAAUAAAGCACGUUACCAUGCUUUAGAAAACAUGAAGCAGCCAUAACAAAGUAAGCCUGGUAGGGAUGGUUGUUUAACAAAUAGUGAUAAAGCCGAUAGAAUAAAUCCUUACCAGCUGAGCAGCUACAAAUGCACCAAGGAGAAGGAAUCCAGGACGUUCAACAAAAGACCAGCUGCGAGAUCUUGUGACAAAAAUAAGUGCCUGGCUCACGAUACUCACUUGUAAAUACAAGGCUGCCAUCAUUUCCUUAUCGUUAUUUCUCAGUGACCUGA
rnacentral:lncRNA from 1 species